rnacentral:rRNA from 1 species
AUGUUCGGUUAAGUCCGCUAACGAGCGCAACCCUCGCUGUGUGUUACAAGUGUCACACGGUACUGCCGGUCUUAAGCCGGAGGAAGGUGGGGAUGACGUCAAGUCAGCAUGGCCUUUAUGUCCUGGGCUACACACACGCUACAAUGGCCAACACAAUAGGUUGCUAAGCCGCGAGGUGGAGCCAAUCCUCAAAGUUGGUCUCAGUUCAGAUUGCAGGCUGCAACCCGCCUGCAUGAAGAUGGAGUUGCUAGUAACCGCAGGUCAGCUAUACUGCGGUGAAUACGUUCCCGGGCCUU